UACGUAGGUGGCAAGCGUUGUCCGGAUUUACUGGGCGUAAAGGGUGCGCAGGCGGACCUUUAAGUAGAAAGUGAAAGGUUGGAGCUCAACUCCAACAUUGCUUUCUAUACUGGAGGUCUUGAGUGCUGGAGAGGAAAGCGGAACGACACGUGUAGCGGUGAAAUGCGUUGAUAUGUGUCGGAACACCAAUGGCGAAGGCAGCUUUCUGGACAGUUACUGACGCUCAGGCACGAAAGCCAAGGGAGAGAAC
rnacentral:rRNA from 1 species